rnacentral:rRNA from 1 species
GACGUAGGGCGCAAGCGUUGUCCGGAUUUAUUGGGCGUAAAGAGCUCGUAGGCGGUUUGUUGCGUCGACUGUGAAAACCCGCGGCUCAACCGCGUGGCUUGCAGUCGAUACGGGCAGGCUAGAAUUCGGUAGGGGAGACUGGAAUUCCUGGUGUAGCGGUGAAAUGCGCAGAUAUCAGGAGGAACACCGGUGGCGAAGGCGGGUCUCUGGGCCGAUAUUGACGCUGAGGAGCGAAAGCGUGGGGAGCAAACAGG